rnacentral:rRNA from 1 species
AGAUUGAACGCUGGCGGCAGGCCUAACACAUGCAAGUCGAGCGGCAGCACGGGUACUUGUACCUGGUGGCGAGCGACGGACGGGUGAGUAAUGCCUAGGAAUCUGCCUGGUAGUGGGGGAUAACGCUCGGAAACGGACGCUAAUACCGCAUACGUCCUACGGGAGAAAGCAGGGGACCUUCGGGCCUUGCGCUAUCAGAUGAGCCUAGGUCGGAUUAGCUAGUUGGUGAGGUAAUGGACUCACCAAGGCGACGAUCCGUAACUGGUCUGAGAGGAUGAUCAGUCACACUGGAACUGAGACACGGUCCAGACUCCUACGGGAGCAGCAGUGGGAAUUUGGACAAGUGGGCGAAAGCCUGAUCCAGCAAUGCCGCGUGCAGGAAGGAGGCCUUCGGUUGUAAACUGCUUUUUGACGGAGCGAAAGGUCUAGCCUAAUACGGCGGACC